AUUGAACGCUGGCGGCAGGCCUAACACAUGCAAGUCGAACGAGUGGCGGACGGGUGAGUAAUGUCUGGGAAACUGCCCGAUUGAGGGGGAUAACUACUGGAAACGGUAGCUAAUCCCGCAUACCAUCGGGUGUGCCCAUAUGGGAUUAGCUAGUAGGUGGGGUAACGGCGCACCUAGGCGACGAUGCCUAGCCGGUCUGAGAGGAUGACCAGCCAAACGGGAACGGAGACACGGGCAAGACUCCCACGGGAGGCAGCAGUGGGGAAUAUGGCACAAUUGGAGCAAGCCUGAUGCAGCCAUGCCGCGUGUAUGAAGAAGGCCUGCGGGUUGUAAAGUACUUUCAGCGAGGAGGCGUUACUCGCAGAAGAAGCACCGGCUAACUCCGUGCCAGCAGCCGCGGUAAUAC
rnacentral:rRNA from 1 species